ACUUGGUCCCCAGGCUGAUAGCUGGGAAACCAGCAUGGGACUGAUCCAGACCCCCUGAAUUUUUGAAAGUAUAAUAUGGAUAUUAUACAUACAGAACUAGAUUAUGGAACAGCCUUCACCACUGUGAUUCCUGCCUGUGAAUACAAUGUGACCAGUUGUCUGAUAUUCCUGCUGUCAUGCCUUCCUCCUAUGGUGGACCUAAGCCCUUAAACAAUGAGACAAAAUAAAUGGCUUUCUUGAGAGCUUCA